rnacentral:lncRNA from 1 species
CCUCCUUCCCACGCAUCUAUAUUAUUUUUUGCUUUAUUUAAUUUUAAAUCAAAGGUAUUUUUUUUUCCAAAACUUUAUUCUAAGCCAUCUAUACCAGCUUUGGCUUUGGAAACUGACAGACAGUACAUCAGGAAAGCUAUCUUAAUUUGCAGUUGGGGUGGUCAUUGUAAGAAAAACUACACCCUUCAUACAAUCAAGACUUCAGCCCACAAAUGCAGUGCCAGGGCGAGACGUUGCUUAUGAUAUCAGAAGUUGUCAUCAAGAGAUCUCAUGGAGAAGGCACUGUCCUAGAGCCUGGAUGCUGAGGAAGAGGGCCCACACUGAGUGCCGCUGGGGUGCUGGCCUGCUACCCACUGCAGGGAUGAGCUCCCAAAACGUGCCUCCCCAGGGAGUCCCUCCAGGGAUACUGGCCUAAAAUAUCAUCAUUUAACUUCUGUUUGAAGAUUUCCAGGGAAAUCCAGAUUUCAUACCAC